CCUACGGGUGGCUGCAGUGGGGAAUAUUGCACAAUGGGCGCAAGCCUGAUGCAGCCAUGCCGCGUGUGUGAAGAAGGCCUUCGGGUUGUAAAGCACUUUCAGCGGGGAGGAAGGCGGUGAGGUUAAUAACCUCAUCGAUUGACGUUACCCGCAGAAGAAGCACCGGCUAACUCCGUGCCAGCAGCCGCGGUAAUACGGAGGGUGCAAGCGUUAAUCGGAAUUACUGGGCGUAAAGCGCACGCAGGCGGUCUGUCAAGUCGGAUGUGAAAUCCCCGGGCUCAACCUGGGAACUGCAUUCGAAACUGGCAGGCUAGAGUCUUGUAGAGGGGGGUAGAAUUCCAGGUGUAGCGGUGAAAUGCGUAGAGAUCUGGAGGAAUACCGGUGGCGAAGGCGGCCCCCUGGACAAAGACUGACGCUCAGGUGCGAAAGCGUGGGGAGCGAACAGGAUUAGAUACCCCGGUAGUC
rnacentral:rRNA from 1 species